UCCCUGAUUAGAGGGGAACAAUGAAAAAACGCAGUGGAACUGGCUUCGACGUCCAGAGUUGAGUUUGAGGGCUCUGGCCGUUAUUUAAGUAGGUGUGUUUAACAGUGGUGUAUGACCUGACGAAGAUCCAACUCGGAUGGAAACGUUGUAUUUUUUGUGCGUCUGAUUAAAUCGCCAUGGGAGCACACCAGAGUUGAGGACAUUAAUUUUUUCUUUGAUACGUUCUUCUGUCCUACACUUGAUAAGUUGGAUGUGAAUAUUUUCAUAUUUUGUUAUGUUGCUCACGAGUAUAAUUCAUUGGCAGAUCCCUCCUGAUGACUUGGAUGGAAUUAUGUGAUUCUUCCUUAACCCAUCGGAAGUUCCACCCAGUUGACAAAAUGGGCUGAUGGACCAGGUUAGUGACCCUCUGACCAUGGCGUCGGCGUCUACUCCAAAAGCCGUCAGACGGGAGCGGUGCACGGAGAUAGACGCUCGGCGGAGUAAGUCUUGUGUGCAUCUGGGGUCAUGCCUGCAGACCUGGGGUCAGCUGAAGAACCACCUGGGCUUCUCUUUGCACUCUGAGCUCAUCCACUACCUACUGCAGAGCUAUUUUUCUAAAGUGUGUGCCAAAUGCUAAGGCAGUAUGAAAGGGGACAUGGCUGCCUUGGUGACAUCAAGAGAAAUGUCCUAUUGGUCCACACUCACCGGCAACAGUGCACCUUCCCACCCACCCUCCACUACCAUGGAGAAGUAGGCAGCUGGCACAGAUACGAGCCAGUCAAAGGGAGAGGCAGUGAAGCAGAGAAGCGGCCCAAAGCACUUACCAUCUCAGACAGGUGGCUGGCUGGCUAUGUAAUGUGAUGAUGAUGAUGAUGACGAUGAUGAGGACCCCGGCAACAUCACUGGAGAGAAGGAUAUCCCUUCACCCAGCAGGUUUUAAUGCAUCAUAUGAAGUACCAGCACUUCCACCAGAGGACAUUCACCUGCUCUCACAUUCCCUGUGGGACUUCAAGAAGCACCUGAAGGAGCAUGAGAAGCUGCACAACAAUGAGGCUCAACAUUUCCGUGUUAUGAUUCUUUAUUAUCAUCCUUUGCUUCUGCACAACAUGCUGAAGUAAUGAUUGUCUGAGUAGCUAUUUGUAGGGCCCUGCGAACUCUGGCUUUUGUCUUGAGAUCAGAGGGACAUCUGUGAGUUCUGUGCCUGGGUGUUCCGCACCAACAGUCACCUUCACAUCCACCACCGCAUCCACACCAGAGAGAAGCCUAUUCAGUGUGAGGUGUGUGUGGCUUCACCUACUGUCAGAAGGCCUCUCUCAACUUGCACAUGAAAAAGCACAACAUUGACGACAGACCAGUUCCCCUGAGAGGUCUGCAACCGGCACUUGGAGAAGAGUUACAACCUGACCGCUCACCACCGCAAAAGCCACCCUGACCCUGACUAGACCUUGAGCUUAACCAUCACCACCUCCAACACUGAAUCACCCCUCACUGCUACCCCAGUCCAUGUCCCAGCACAGCAGUGACACUACCGCCACAGCCACAGCCACAGCCACAGCCACAGGCGACUGCUUUAUCCUUGUAGUGACAUGAAACACUGAGACUGUGUUUUGCUCCACGUUUACACCUGUAGAGAUGUGUGGCAUAUCAGGGUCCCUCUAUUGACUGUAAAUAAUGGUCCUUUGGUGUUUUGUGACCCAAAUGGCCAGCAUGUCAGUUUCUCUAUGCAGUCCAUGGACAGUGUCCAUACUGAAGACGAGCAGUCUCUCCUUCAUUCUUAUGUGUGUUUUUGUUACAUGACCCAAUGUUUUGGUAAAGAAGGGUAAUGAUUGAGAAGACCACCUUUGGGUGUUGCUUUUGUAUAAAUAUUUUACAAUGCAGCUUUAUUUAUGAGGAAAGUAUGUCGAAGGGAGGGGGAAAAUUAAAUGUUUGUUACAUUUUCUUCUAUGAUCUUGCAUGACCUUGAAAGACAAAUGACAUUACACAUUUUAUCUAUGAGGAAAUGUGAAUAUAUUAUUAAACCCCCUUUAAUCUGGC